GACGAACGCUGGCGGCGUGCUUAACACAUGCAAGUCGAACGGAAAGGCCCUGCUUUUGUGGGGUGCUCGAGUGGCGAACGGGUGAGUAACACGUGAGUAACCUGCCCUUGACUUUGGGAUAACUUCAGGAAACUGGGGCUAAUACCGGAUAGGAGCUCCUGCUGCAUGGUGGGGGUUGGAAAGUUUCGGCGGUUGGGGAUGGACUCGCGGCUUAUCAGCUUGUUGGUGGGGUAGUGGCUUACCAAGGCUUUGACGGGUAGCCGGCCUGAGAGGGUGACCGGCCACAAUGGGACUGAGAUACGGCCCAGACUCCUACGGGAGGCAGCAGUGGGGAAUAUUGCACAAUGGGCGCGAGCCUGAUGCAGCAACGCCGCGUGCGGGAUGACGGCCUUCGGGUUGUAAACCGCUUUCGCCUGUGACGAAGCGUGAGUGACGGUAAUGAGCAAAGAAGCACCGGCUAACUACGUG
rnacentral:rRNA from 1 species